AUCCUGGCUCAGAAUCAACGCUGGCGGCGCGCUUAACACAUGCAAGUCGAACGAGAAAGGGGAGCAAUCCCCGAGUAAAGUGGCGUACGGGUGAGUAACACGUGGGUAAUCCGCCUUCUGGUGGGGAAUAACUCUGGGAAACCGGAGCUAAUACCGCAUAAGACCGAAAGGUGAAAGGCGCAAGUCGCCGGAAGAGGAGCCCGCGGCUGAUUAGUUAGCUGGUGGGGUAAAGGCUUACCAGGGCGAUGAUCAGUAGCCGGCCUGAGAGGGCACACGGCCACACUGGCACUGAAACACGGGCCAGACUCCUACGGGAGGCAGCAGUGGGGAAUCUUGCACAAUGGGGGAAACCCUGAUGCAGCGACGCCGCGUGAGUGAUGAAGCCCUUCGGGGUGUAAAGCUCUUUCGGCAGGGACGAUAAUGACGGUACCUGAAGAAGAAGCUGCGG
rnacentral:rRNA from 1 species